rnacentral:rRNA from 1 species
GGAGUUCAGACGUGUGCUCUUCCGAUCUCGGCGCGCCUAAUACAUGCAAGUCGAACGAGUACGCACUUCGGUGCAAUGUACGAGUGGCGAACGGGUGAGUAACACGUGAGAAACCUGCCUCGGAGACCGGGACAACCAUUGGAAACGAUGGCUAAUACCGGAUGUCCUUACUUGAUCGCAUGAUCGUGUAAGGAAAUGAUCCGUCGCUCCGGGAGGGUCUCGCGGCCUAUCAGCUAGUUGGUGAGGUAAUGGCUCACCAAGGCAUCGACGGGUAGCUGGUCUGAGAGGACGAUCAGCCACACUGGGACUGAGACACGGCCCAGACUCCUACGGGAGGCUGCAGCAGGGAAUAUUGUGCAAUGAGCGAAAGCUUGACACAGCGACACCGCGUGUGGGAUGACGGUUCUAGGAUUGUAAACCACUUUCAGGAGGGAAGAAAAUGACGGUACCUCCACAAGAAGACCCGGCCAACUAUGUGCCAGCAGCCGCGGUAAUACAUAGGGGUCAAGCGUUGUCCGGAUUUAUUGGGCGUAAAGAGCUCGUAGGCGGUUCAACAAGUCGGUCGUAAAAGUUUAGGGCUCAACCCUAAAAUGUCGAUCGAUACUGUUGUGACUAGGAUACGGUAGAGGUGAAUGGAAUUCCGAGUGUAGCGGUGAAAUGCGUAGAUAUUCGGAGGAACACCAAUUGCGAAGGCAGUUCACUGGACCGUGAUCGACGCUGAGGAGCGAAAGCUAGGGGAGCAAACAGGAUUAGAUACCCUGGUAGUCCUAGCUGUAAACGAUGGAUACUAGAUGUAGGAACUGGAUUGACGGUUUCUGUAUCGUAGCUAACGCGUUAAGUAUCCCGCCUGGGGAGUACGGUCGCAAGACUAAAACUCAAAGGAAUUGACGGGACCCCGCACAAGCGGCGGAGCAUGCGGCUUAAUUCGAUGAUACCCGUAGAACCUUACCUGGACUUGACAUAUAGGGAAAAACUGGAGAAAUUCAGUGUGCGUAAGCGCCCUAUACAGGUGGUGCAUGGCUGUCGUCAGCUCGUGUCGUGAGAUGUUGGGUUAAGUCCC